CCUCACAUUCCCUGUCUCACCUAUAUACAGAGGGAGACCCACAGGCCUGCAGUAUAGCUAAUCUGACCGUAGAGGAAAGAAGGUCAAACAAAUUUUAUAAUGCCACGAGGAAACACCCUUCCUGGACAAAAUAUACUUUAGAGAAGAGUAAAGAAGAGGAAAAUGUAUUAUAAGAGAACAUGACGAGAAGAUUGAACAAGAGAUUGAACAAAAGGGGAAAAGGCUGAGAGAAGAGAUAAACAGAAAUAACCUGAUACUCAAAAGGAUAAACUUGGGUGAACUAAUCCUCAACACAGUAAUAUCUGAGUCUAUGAAUGCAUGUGGAAAGUUCUGGAAAUUAAUGGUAUAGCCUGAGUGAAACUGAUCAGUGAUGUUAUAUGAGCGAGAGCCAGAAUCACUUGCAUCGCUCAGCACUCCGGCCCAAAAGUGCACAUUCCCACAUCCCAGCGCACCACUUUAAAGAGUGUCCCGGCUGCUCUGGUUCGCCACUCCC